rnacentral:rRNA from 1 species
AUGGGGGCGGUUUUGAGAGAUGAAAAAGGUAGGUUUAUCGCGGGAGGAAACGGGAAGAUUGACUAUUGCGAAGAUGUGUUGAUGGCGAAAGCCUCAGCUCUUAAAUUUGGUAUAACAUUGGCGCAAAGGGCGGGAUGUAAUCGCCUUAUUAUUAACUCGGACAACCUGGAGGUGAUUGAUACCAUGAAGAACGGAGGACAGUCGGCGGGUGCGGCGGCGACAAUUUUCGACGAUUGUUUUCAUUAUGCUUGUGAUUUCGUUGCUACUAGAUUCGAACACUGCAACAGAGAAGCAAAUAAAGUAGCUCAUAAGCUUGCGAGUUUAGCUAGAUUUUCGUUGGUUUCUGAAUGGUUUGAGGAACCUGUAAAUGAAAUUGUAAUGACCCUCACUGACGAUGUACUUGCUAUCUCUAAUGAAUAA